AUACUUAUCUGGUGCCGGGGCCUAGUUGAUCACCGAGUACGAGCUCCCAGGGCGAGGCGCGGGCACUGCACUGCGCUCGCGUUGACCCUGACACUACCCCAAACUGGGGCAGAUGGGGCAUGCAAAUUGCUUAAAUCCGGUUCAACGGGAGAGAGAGCGCCACCGGC
rnacentral:snRNA from 1 species